rnacentral:rRNA from 1 species
UAAGGGCGCACGGUGGAUGCCUUGGCACUAGAAGCCGAUGAAGGACGUUACUAACGACGAUAUGCUUUGGGGAGCUGUAAGUAAGCUUUGAUCCAGAGAUUUCCGAAUGGGGAAACCCAGCAUGAGUUAUGUCAUGUUAUCGAUAUGUGAAUACAUAGCAUAUCAGAAGGCACACCCGGAGAACUGAAACAUCUUAGUACCCGGAGGAAGAGAAAGAAAAUUCGAUUCCCUUAGUAGCGGCGAGCGAAACGGGAAGAGCCCAAACCAACAAGCUUGCUUGUUGGGGUUGUAGGACACUCUAUACGGAGUUACAAAGGACGACAUUAGACGAAUCAUCUGGAAAGAUGAAUCAAAGAAGGUAAUAAUCCUGUAGUCGAAAAUGUUGUCUCUCUUGAGUGGAUCCUGAGUACGACGGAGCACGUGAAAUUCCGUCGGAAUCUGGGAGGACCAUCUCCUAAGGCUAAAUACUCUCUAGUGACCGAUAGUGAACCAGUACCGUGAGGGAAAGGUGAAAAGCACCCCGGAAGGGGAGUGAAAUAGAACCUGAAACCGUGUGCUUACAAGUAGUCAGAGCCCGUUAAUGGGUGAUGGCGUGCCUUUUGUAGAAUGAACCGGCGAGUUACGAUUUGAUGCAAGGUUAAGCAGUAAAUGUGGAGCCGUAGCGAAAGCGAGUCUGAAUAGGGCGUUUAGUAUUUGGUCGUAGACCCGAAACCAGGUGAUCUACCCUUGGUCAGGUUGAAGUUCAGGUAACACUGAAUGGAGGACCGAACCGACUUACGUUGAAAAGUGAGCGGAUGAACUGAGGGUAGCGGAGAAAUUCCAAUCGAACCUGGAGAUAGCUGGUUCUCUCCGAAAUAGCUUUAGGGCUAGCCUCAAGUGAUGAUUAUUGGAGGUAGAGCACUGUUUGGACGAGGGGCCCCUCUCGGGUUACCGAAUUCAGACAAACUCCGAAUGCCAAUUAAUUUAACUUGGGAGUC